rnacentral:rRNA from 1 species
AGUGAACGCUGGCGGCAGGCCUAACACAUGAAAGUCGAGCGGCAGCGCGCGGCCACCUGGCGGCGAGCGGCGGACGGGUGAGGAAUACAUCGGAACCUACCCUGUCGUGGGGUAUAACGUAGGGCAACUUACGCUAAUACCGCAUACGAACUGAGGUUGAAAGCGGCGGACCGCAAGGCGUCGCGCGAUUGGAUGAGCCGAUGUCCGAUUAGCUAGCUGGCGGGUUAAAGGCCCACCAAGGCGACGACUGGUAGCUGGUCUGACAGGACGACCAGCCACACUGGAACUGAGACACGGUCCAGACUCCUACGGGAGGCAGCAGUGGGGAAUAUUGGACAAUGGGCGCAAGCCUGAUCCAGCCAUGCCGCGUGGGUGAAGAAGGCCUUCGGGUUGUAAAGCCCUUUUGUCUGGAAAGAGAUCCUGUCGGUUAAUACCCGGCGGGGAUGACGGUACCGGAAGAAUAAGCACCGGCUAACUUCGUGCCAGCAGCCGCCGCAG